AUCCAUGUGGAUCACAAGUAUGAUGGUUGGCUGCUAGGGCUGUGGUGUGAGAUGUGUCUCCUUCAAACCUUGCUAUGGGGCCAACCCAUGACCUAUCUGAAA